UAGGAGGCUAGAAGACUGAAUUCAGGGUUCCAGGAGAAGUCUUUCUCCCUCUGUCGGCUCUGGGGGAAGGUCCUUGUUAUCAAUCCUCCCAGGUUGAGGAGCUUCUCCAUGCAGGUACCCCGUGUCCAAAGAACAUGCUAUUCUCCUGGCUCUUGUUUCUUGGUGGUAUGAGGUCCCCAAACCAAACCAAGGCUGUUGCUAUCGAGUCAAUUCUGACUCAUCGUGACCCUCUAGGACAUAGAACUGCCCCACAGGGUUUCCAAGGAGCAGCUAGCUGGUGGAUUCGAGCUCCUUACCUUUUGGCUAGCAGCAGAGCUCUUAACCACUGUGCCACUAGGGCUCCAAGGACUGCUCCAAGGGGAGUUAAUUCUGCUGCACUUCUAGCCUACUCUUCACAAAGGCAGAGUCAGCUUCUGAGGCUUCAAAGAAAGGGCCCAGGCAGGGAGAAGCAGAUAAGGCAGUGGAAAGUCCCUGGAGCACACAGAAAUGAUGAAACCCAAGGGAUAUGGGUGGGGCCCGACAGUGUCAGUCACAGCCUCCAACUCUGAUUUGCUUAGUCUCCAAGCCUGAAGGUGGAGGCAGCAGAAGGGCCCCCAGAGGACUCUUAACUCCAUGAAUGUGAGCAAGACAGAAAGGGAGAGGCUGAGGACAAGUAGAGCUGGCCUGGGAGGGCACAGCACCAAAGCAGGCAUCCCUGUUGAAACUGAGUAGCCCCGGAGAGUAUGGUGCUUUUUCCCUACUGAGGGCCAAGCUACACUCUUUCUGGAGCUGCUGGGGCCUGGCCUUGCCUGUACCUGAGUGUCUGGAGUAACAUUCGAGGGUUGGAGAAGGGAGUGUGUAGGUGGCUCUGUGGAACAUCAGCCAUUAGACUAGAUUUUUUAGGGACCGAAGCCAGAAUGGAUUUCCCAAGCAUGACUAGCAGCUAGGCCAGAAUGCCUGGGUUUCUGAAUGGGGAGCACGUACAGCGGAGUGGGAGGGAGCCUGAGGGGCAGGUGUUGGGUCUGGGGCCCUAGGGGGAACGGGAUGAAUACCAGUUCUACGAGAGAGAAACCAGGAAGGAAUGGAGGCCAGACCCACGGUCCUGGAAGGAGGAGGAAAUUGGAACUGACUUGGCUGAGCAGUUCUGGCCCAGGUUCUCUCAUGAGGUUGUGGUCAGGUGUCAGCUGGUGCUGCAGUCAUUUGAAGACUUGACUAGAGUUGAAGGAUCUACUUCCAAAGGAGCUCAUAUGGAUGUGACAGCAUCCCAAAGAGACUACCAGUUCCCUGCUGGCAGCAACUGCAAAACCAUGGUUUCUGUCUCUUCUAAGUCUGCUUCUUCAACUUGCCCUCCUGUUCUGUGAGGCACCCCAUUUCUUUCCAGUAAAUUCUAUUUUUUACAUCUUACCCAGAAUUUGUUUCUGUUUUUUUACCCAAAAGGCCCUAACUAAUGAACUACUUAACAAAGAUUUGUGAUUAUUAAAUUAAAUAAUCUAUGUGAAAAACUUAGCACAGUGCCUGGCGUAUAGGAUGUGUCCAACAAAUGGUAUUAAAAAAAAUUGUUUUCAGUGAAGUUCUACACAGCAGCUUAGGUUUCCAUUCAGCAAUUUCUGCACAAGUUGUUCUGUGACAUUGGUUACAUCAAAGAGUAAAUUUUCUGAGUCUGUUAAAGUAAAAACAAAGAGUUUUAUUGAUGGGGACGCAAUUUGUGAAUUGGGAAAUAGUGCGAGGAGGAAUCUACACAGUGCUACAAAUUGUGGGGGAAUGAGAGAGAUAUUUAUAUAAGGAAAAGGGGGAGCUUCUAGGAAAAAUUCUGAUUGGUUGACAUUUACUUUACAAUUACAGAGUAGCCAUGAAACAAUCACAGGGUGAUCUAAGGCUCCUUACUCAAAUUAUAUCUUGUUUAACACUAGAUAGUUCUACUUUCUAAAAUCCUGCUUGUAUACAUUGCACUAUUUUUUCUGAGAACAAUUGUUUUUCAAGACUUAAUCUUUAACUACAGGUUUCUAUCUCUCCUGUUUAUCUUAUUUAGGAAUUUUCUAUUAGGGCAGUCAGGGGCUUGAGUCUUAGCAAAGAUUCACUACAGGAGCAAAGAUGGAGUCUACAGAGGCUAACUUAAACAAAAUGGAGUCCAGUGCAGGCCCUGGGCCAGGCAUCUCCAUUGUGCUAAGGGCCUCAAUUUAAGUGUCCUUACACAGUCUCUAUUUCUGAUCAUGAAUUUCCAUAGAAAUUCUUUGAUCACUAUUAUAAGAGUGUCUUCUUCUGCAUGGACUUAGUCAAUUUUAUCUUAUUUCUUAGGUGUUUGGUUACUUUAGUGAGCUUUCAAGACCUCAUACAUUACUCAUAAAAUGGAAAGUGGACACUAUCUAGUUUUUGGUCUUCAUCACGCUAUGGCUUGGAUCUCUGCUUCUGUGAUCUUUAAAUCUGAGUAAGUGUAUGGCAAGGCUACAUAGGAGAGACUGAUUGGCUUACUGAGAAGGCUGUCCUCAAGGGGUAAUAUCAGACUCAUUUGGAAACCUAGUUUUAAAGUACAUAAUUCUUUGCAUGGCUAAUCGUUUUGAGAUAUGGCUGCCAAAGUUAGAUAAGUAGUACACAAUACUUUUAAUAAACCUUAUGGUAACAAUUAACCAAAACCCACUGCAGUCGAGUCCAUCCUGACUCAUAGCGAUGCUAUAGGACAGAGUAGAACUGCUCCAUAGAGUUUCCAAGGAGCACCUGGCAGAUUUGAGCUGCUGACCCUUUGGUUGGCAGCCAUAGCACUUAACCGCUAUGCCACCAGGGUUUCCGUGAUAAUAAUUACAAUGACUAAAAAGAGUAAAACAGCCUAAAAUAGAUUGUAAGUAAGAAUUAACAUUUUGAGGGAGCAAGCUGAAAAGAUUAAAAAAGAAAGGAAUAGUCAUAGGAGGAAUGAUGAGUAACUAGAUGGCCUUAAGGUGCGUUUUAAUAAUAUCUUGUUCUACUUUUCUAGAGAUGUUAAUCCAUGAGCAGCAAGAGGUAUUGGUGAUAGCACAGACUCCUCUUUGUUGUGCUAAUAAAAAACUAAAGCUAUUCUCUUAUCAAGGACUACCUUGAUGAGGGAUUCUAAAGAUUUUUGUUGAGUUGUCAUUCCAUCGGUAAUAUUAUUAGCAAUUUGGGCCUUGGUAACAGAUACAAUGUGAAUAGACUUCUCUAAUUGUAAUAUGCUAUAUGUGGGAACAAAUGCCCAAAGAAAUGACUAGCCCCAUCCAGGUCUAUCAGUGAUGGGAUUAUUUGGGAAAAUAAGUUCUCUCCUGUGUGCAGUUAUUAAUUUUAAUUCACUGGUCUAAUAUAAACUAUCAUUACAUGAAUGGAUAUUUAAUAGAAUUCUGAGGGUACCUGCAGUGCAAUGACCCUGCAUAUUCCAACCAUCUAAAUAUGGCAAGACCUAAUUAAAAAAAACCUGUUGCCAUUGAGUUGAUUUUGACUCAUAGCGACCCUAAAGGACAGAGUAGAACUGCCCCAUAGGGUUUCCAGGGAGUACCUGGUGGAUUCAAACUGCCGACCUUUUGGUUAGCAGCUGUAGCUCUUAACCACUGUGCCACCACGGUUUCCAAGGUCUAAAUAUAAGGUUCAAAAUUGGAUUUCUUUCUUAAAUAAGUAGAUCCCAUAGAUAAUAGAUAAGAAAAACAUAUCUAUAUGGAGCAGAUAAUGUGUCAAUCCUGGUUUGUUUAUUGGGAAAGGAAAUGUUUUGAUAGACUUUUUGAGCCAACCUUCAGUUAAUGAAUUGUUAUAAAUGGACAAACCUCUAAAUUCUAGAUGGUCUCUGAGUUGGGUACAAAUUAGAAAAAUUUGGUCAUUAGCAUGACUGCUAUUUACUAAUGAAGGCUAAUAUUGGGAAUUACCCAUUAAAAAAAGGCAUUGUUCAGGCCUGGAGCAUCUGGUGGGAUCUACUCAAAAAUGAGUGAGGUUAAAACAAGGUGCUAAUGGAUAGGUUGAUAAUUCUGGAGGAUGCUAUAAUUUGACAUGAAUGACUCAUUUGAAUAGUUUUUCAAAAUCAAUAGUAAAGUUAGGUAUGAAUUUAAAACUGGGAAGGCAAGAGGAUAAAUAAGGUCUUGUACAGAUUGAGGAGAGGAGUGACAUAUGCAACAGUCAAUUAAAUUGCUGGUGUUACCAAAUGACUGAGCUAACUUAAUAAGGGCAUUGUCUUUCUAAGUGUUAAUGGAGGUUAUUAGAAGCAGUAAGGUAAAAUUCAAGUAAAGCUUUAUAAUGAAGAAAAACUAUUCAGAAAUAAUACAAUAAGGCAAAGAGUGUAAGAAUAAUCGCAACAAUAAAGCAGGUUCUACAAAUAUCUAUCAUAAAAGCUACCAGGAAAUAAACCCAAGUUGGUGGAAUAAAGCUUUUUCAAAUACUGUAAGUAUUAAACAGAGUGCAAUGACUUCAAUAAUUAGUAUUACCGAGGAAGUAAAUUGCAAGAGUGAAGUAUAGCUAAUAAAUAAGAAAAGCUACUAUUAUGAAACACCAAAAACAAACAAAAAAACCAAACUAAACCCGUUGCCGUCAACUCGGUUCCAACUCAUAGCAACCCUAUUGGACAGUGAAGAACUCACCCAUAGGGUUUCCAAGGAGCGGCCGGUGGAUUUGAACUGCUGACUUUUGGUUAGCAGCUGAGCUCUUAACCACUAUGUCACCAGGGCUCCAUUACAAAACAAAGUCUAAAAAUUUCCACAAGUUGCCUGAGGCCUUGUUCCGUGAUCUUGGGAGUAGUCAUCUAAUUUAGAUGUCGUUUGCAUCUGGCCACAAGGGUGUUUAAGGAUAACCUUCAAGUUUCCAGGUGGCUGGUAAGCCUAAGCUUCUACCUAGUGUGAAAACCUGCAGGUCACGACAAGCAUGUAUUUAUAGCCAUUUGAAGGUGAGAGCUGUAUGAAGUCUAGUUGCCAUUCUAACAUAGGCCCAAAGGGUAAGGGGUAUCACUUAGGUGAGAUUUUAAGACACUUCGAUGAGUUGUGAUGACAGCAGGUGAAAUAAUGUGAAACUUUAUGUGCUGCGGCUUCAAAAUCUUAUUACUAAUUUUUUUUUUUAAGGUUUCAAUCAUCUUAUCCUAGGUGAGUAUUGAUAUGUAGAGGUCGAAUCAUAGGGACAUAGAGGGAUCUGGGCAAAAUGAACUUCUGAUUGGGUCCUAACCAUAACUUAGUGGUAGGAUCUUGGUAACAAUCUUCCUUUUCCGUAUUUCGAUUCAUCAAGCUGAGCUAAUAGCUGUCAUUUUAAAGGACUUUCUGAAGUUAUUUCAUGAAGACUGGAGUCCUCUAUGAAUAAACCUGAGGGACUUCUUUUUCAAGAGUCCCUUCCAUAAUGUCCCCAGCUAUUACAGGGGUCAUGAUAAUUUUGGAUGUAGCCUGCUUUGCUGCUUUAUCAGCUAAAUUAUUUCCUCUGAUUACUUUGGUCUGAGACACUCUCUUUGGCUGACCAGGAAGGAAUUUUUAUAACAGCUAUUUCAGAAGGGAGUAAAAAAGUACCUGAUAAUUAGGGAAACUUAAGGCAUGGGUAUUCAUUAAAGCUUACUACAGUUUGAUUACAGCUUUCCGAUCUUCUGAGUUAAUUUGGAAGGAGCCUGGCUCAGAGGCCUUUAAGUACUUGUAUAAAGGCUGAGCUAAAAGAGAAAAUUUGGAAUCCAGGUUCAGCAGUAGCCACAGAGUCCUAGAGAUCCUUGCAGUUGUUUCUUAGUUCCAGGUAUAGGGAAAGAAAAAAUAGCUUUUUUUUCAUUUAGGAUCAAUAGAAAUACCUUCUGCAGAGAUUAAAUAACCUAAAUACUUAACAGAAAGCUGCACCAAUUGUAGUAUUUUUUUUUUUUUUAGAAAUUUUGUGUCCUCUGGCAGAUAAAUGUUUUGACAAGAUUACACUAUAGUUAAGGCAAGGCUGUUGGGAGCCAGAACAGACUAGUGAAUCUUCAACAUAUUGCAGCAAUGUGGACUUACUGGCAAAAUGUAAGUACUUAAAGGCCUCUCUCUGCCACUUUACCAAUUCUGACACCAACCAUCCCUCCCAAGGCACUCUUGAUUUCUGUGCUGGGUUUGAUAAUUAAUUGGAAUGGCCACACAGAACGCACAAUAUGUGGUUUAUUAGGGAAAUAACAGGUUACAAUUCAAGGAGAGGAAUGCUCAGAAUACAGCUCUUCCAUCAGGAUAAUCUCUUCUCAGCUGUGCUCACAGACAUGCUUCUCUCUGGCCUUUCAGCCUUUUCCCUGCUUGGGCAAGUUUUACAAACCCCUUUUAGCUCUGCUGAUGAGUGUCCUGAGGGACUCCGCUCUGCCAGUAAGCCUUGGCCUGAAGGUGCUCAGUGUGAACUCUGUGGGUCAGGAAACCUAGCUCCACCAAGUACCUGGAGGAACCCUACUCCUCCAGCAAGCCUCCUACCUGAAGGGAUUCAGCUUUCUCACUCCUUGGGAUGGAAAGCCCACUUCGCCAUCUCCUACUGGUCUCUCCUGCCAUUGUUUCUCUGCCACUGAUUCUUACCGUCUUCAGUGUUAUGGCUCUCUCUCUCUCUUAGUCUCCUGGUUCCAGGAGCUUCUCAGCACAGGGAUUCCAGGUCCAAAGGACGUGCUCUGCUCUAGGCUCUUCUUCCUUGGUGGUGAUGAGAUCCUCUC